CUUCUUAUGAUAAAGACUGUCCAGUUCUGCUGCUGAAGGGAGACAGAGAAAAGCUUUUAGUGGUGAGGAAG
ensembl:snoRNA